rnacentral:rRNA from 1 species
AGCCUGAUCAGCCUGCCGCGUGUGUGAAGAAGGUCUUCGGAUUGUAAAGCACUUUUAGUUGGGAAGAAGGGUCGUUGCCUAAUACCUGAUGUGUUUUGACGUUACCUGCAGAAUAAGCACCGGCUAACUCUGUGCCAGCAGGCGCGGUUUA